rnacentral:rRNA from 1 species
CCUACGGGAGGCAGCAGUGGGGAAUAUUGGGCAAUGGAGGCAACUCUGACCCAGCAACGCCGCGUGAAUGAUGAAGGUCUUCGGAUUGUAAAGUUCUGUGAUGGGGGAUGAACACAAUGACGGUACCCCAAUAGCAAGCCACGGCUAACUACGUGCCAGCAGCCGCGGUAAUACGUAGGUGGCAAGCGUUAUCCGGAAUGACUGGGCGUAAAGGGUGCGUAGGUGGUUUAGUAAGUUGGCGGUGUAAUUCCGGGGCUCAACCUCGGCGCUACCGCCAAAACUAUUAGACUAGAGUGCAGGGGGGGUAAGUGGAAUGCCUAGUGUAGCGGUGGAAGGCGUAGAUAGUAGGAGGAACAUCAGGGGCGAAGGCGACUUACUGGACUGUAACUGACACUGAGGCACGAAAGCGUGGGGAGCAAACAGGAGUAGAUACCCCAGUAGUC